ensembl:lncRNA
CUCCUUCCACCUUCCUGCGGGCUCUGUCCCUCUGAUCCGAAGGCUGCCGGUGGAGGGUGGGGCGGGGGAGGGGCGCUGGAAAGAACUGUAACACUUUAGCUUUGUGCAGAGCAAUUUUCCAUUACAGGAGGACUGAACAGAAAUUGAAACGCGAGGCUCAAUGCCCUGCCACCCAGCUUGGUGGCUCUGCCUCUCGCUCCCAGACUGCUGCUGGAAGCUUGCCCACUUGGCAGCUUUGAAAGGUCUCACCCUUUCCCUGCAUUUGCAAGUGAAGGGGAGCCAGGGGAGAGCCACAUGACAAUGAGGUUGCCAGUGGACACCUUUGUGAUGUCAGCAGCCUCCGGAGACUGCCUGGCUGAGGGAAAGAGAUUCCUCACCUCUCCUUCUGGGUGGUGUGGGGGUGUUUUAUGUGUCUUGGCCAUGGAGGGAGCACAGGACAUCUCCAGGCCAACUCCUUUUCUUAGGGAUGAGCAGAGCGACUUGCUUGAGGUGAUGGGAGUCUUUUGGAGCGAGGGAUAGAAAACCUGGAAGCUGAAGAGUUGGGAUGUAUCCCACACCCUGUGGAGGAAGGCAUAUCAGACAGAAAUAAGAUAAAACAUCUGAGGAGUUGAAACUUUUAUUUAUGGGAAAAUUGGAUUUCAUUUUUUAAAAACAUUCAUAUAUACUGAGUUGUGAAUAUUAAUAACAUAUUGAAACCUAAGCAGAGUGCCUGGCACCUGGUGUAUAAUAAAUGUGUAGUGAAUGAACGAUGUGAGAACGUUUCUGAUGUUUUGUUUCCUUCUUUUGCUUCUUUGCCAAGAGAAAUUAAUAAAGUCAAAUGGAUUUGUGGCUAGUUAGCUAAUGCUUGAUUGUUUACUUACUCAGCAUUCCUUGAGUGACUGGCUGUGAAUAAAUAUGAUGACUUAGGCGUGUUUACCAAAUUGAAAGUGACCUUAUUUAAGUAGACAUUUCAAAUACUUAAAGUAAUGACCCAAAUGAUAGCUGUACUAAUUGAAGCAUGACUUAAUAUAGGGCAGACACCCUUUCCUCAUAAUUAAAACAAAUUCUAUUAAAAAAAUAAGUUCCUUCCUAGAUCUUACGUGAUUGCCGAGGAGAGAAAUCUGGCAUAUGAAGUCUAUAGAAAAGAAUUAAUUUCCAAAGUGACUACUCUGGGAGCUGUGGCGAGGGUGUGUUUUGCUGGUGGAGUGUGGCAGGGAUGCUUUGUUUGGAAGGGCUGUGUUUGGUGUCUGCUUCCCUUCGAUGAGAAAUGAUCACUGAUUCACUCACCAAAGCUCAUGGAGUGAUUUUGCUGUUUCACCUUUUCUUUUAUGCCGUUCUCCCUCUUUCUGACUUCUUCCCCUCAGACAGCCCCAUCUCCAGGUUGCCCUACUUCAUUUCCAGCCUCCUUAUCCACACUAGCUUUCUCAAGAUAGUAGCCUCAGGAUUACGCCUACCUGUUUGGCUGUAUGGUUACAAGUGCUCUCCUUAGAAAAGCCUUAGGUAAAUAUGUCAUGCUAAAGGUUAUUGACUGACACCAGUCAGCUAUGCCUGGCUCUGGAGUAUUACCAUUUUCACAAAGCACUAUGAGUGGUUUAACCUCAGGGAAGAUUCUUUUUGUUUGAGGUAGCUGUAUUUUUUUGGUCCUGAAGUCUGGACACUCAACGGGCUAGUUUCAGCUUUGCCAGGUUAGACCACAUCUCUAAAGUGUGUACCUCAUUUUGAGACUGAAUAAAUGCAUGUUCAAUAAAGAAGAAGUAGACUAGACAAAGGAUAAUAGAGAAUGUAGCAUUGCUUAAAUUACCUGAUUUCAGAACCUUAAAGAAAUUUUGUUUUCAAAGAACAACUUGUGACACUAUUAUUUCAGAAGUGCUGCAUUGGGAAGUCCUACACUAGGCUGUUUGCCCUCGGUUGAGGUGCUUAAUUUCUCUUGGCUUUAUUUCUGUCAUCUACAUAUUGAGGGAAAUGAAGUAGAUAAUUUCCAAGUGUCUUUAGGACUUCCAAAUUCCU